AUUGAACGCUGGCGGCAGGCCUAACACAUGCAAGUCGAACGAGUGGCGGACGGGUGAGUAAUGUCUGGGAAACUGCCUGAUGGAGGGGGAUAACUACUGGAAACGGUAGCUAAUACCGCAUACCAUCAGAUGUGCCCAGAUGGGAUUGGCUUGUUGGUGGGGUAACGGCUCACCAAGGCGACGAUCCCUAGCUGGUCUGAGAGGAUGACCAGUGACACUGGAACUGGGACCCGGUCCAGACUCCUACGUGAGGCAGCAGUGGGGAAUAUUGCACAAUGGGCGCAAGCCUGAUGCAGCCAUGCCGCGUGUAGGAAGAAGGCCUUCGGGUUUUAAAGUACUUUCCGCUGGGGGGCGUUACGCGCAGAAGAAGCACCGGCUAACUCCGUGCCAGCAGCCGCGGUAAUAC
rnacentral:rRNA from 1 species